rnacentral:rRNA from 1 species
UUGGUUAAGUUAGAAAGGGCGCACGGUGGAUGCCUUGGCACUAGGAGCCGAAGAAGGACGGGACUAACACCGAUAUGCUUUGGGGAGCUGUACGUAAGCGUUGAUCCAGAGAUUUCCGAAUGGGGGAACCCACUAUCUUUAGUCGGAUAGUAUCCUUACGUGAAUACAUAGCGUGAGGAAGGCAGACCCAGGGAACUGAAACAUCUAAGUACCUGGAGGAAGAGAAAGAAAAAUCGAUUUCCUGAGUAGCGGCGAGCGAAACGGAAAGAGCCCAAACCAAGAAGCUUGCUUCUUGGGGUUGUAGGACACUCUAUACGGAGUUACAAAAGAAAGUUAUAAAUGAAGCGGUCUGGAAAGGCCCGCCAAAGACGGUAACAGCCCGGUAGUUGAAAUAGCUUUCCCUCCAGAGUGGAUCCUGAGUACGGCGGAACACGUGAAAUUCCGUCGGAAUCCGGGAGGACCAUCUCCCAAGGCUAAAUACUCCCUAGUGACCGAUAGUGAACCAGUACCGUGAGGGAAAGGUGAAAAGCACCCCGGAAGGGGAGUGAAACAGUUCCUGAAACCGUGUGCCUACAAGUAGUUAGAGCCCGUUAAUGGGUGAUAGCGUGCCUUUUGUAGAAUGAACCGGCGAGUUACGAUUUGUUGCAAGGUUAAGCGGAAAAAGCGGAGCCGUAGCGAAAGCGAGUCUGAAUAGGGCGCAUAAGUAACAGGUCGUAGACCCGAAACCAGGUGAUCUACCCAUGUCCAGGAUGAAGGUAAGGUAAUACUUACUGGAGGUCCGAACCCACGCACGUUGAAAAGUGCGGGGAUGAGGUGUGGGUAGCGGAGAAAUUCCAAUCGAACUUGGAGAUAGCUGGUUCUCUCCGAAAUAGCUUUAGGGCUAGCCUCGAGGUAAAGAGUCAUGGAGGUAGAGCACUGUUUGGACUAGGGGCCCUUCUCGGGUUACCGAAUUCAGAUAAACUCCGAAUGCCAUGUACUUAUACUCGGGAGUCAGACUGCGAGUGAUAAGAUCCGUAGUCGAAAGGGAAACAGCCCAGACCACCAGUUAAGGUCCCCAAAUAUAUGUUAAGUGGAAAAGGAUGUGGGGUUGCUUAGACAACCAGGAUGUUGGCUUAGAAGCAGCCACCAUUGAAAGAGUGCGUAAUAGCUCACUGGUCGAGUGACCCCGCGCCGAAAAUGUACCGGGGCUAAACAUAUUACCGAAACUGUGGAUGAACCUCUUCGGAGGUUCGUGGUAGGAGAGCGUUCUAAGGGCGGUGAAGUCAGACCGGAAGGACUGGUGGAGCGCUUAGAAGUGAGAAUGCCGGUAUGAGUAGCGAAAGAAGGGUGAGAAUCCCUUCCACCGAAUAUCUAAGGUUUCCUGAGGAAGGCUCGUCCGCUCAGGGUUAGUCGGGACCUAAGCCGAGGCCGAUAGGCGUAGGCGAUGGACAACAGGUAGAGAUUCCUGUACCAGUGCUAAUUGUUUAACCGAUGGGGUGACACAGAAGGAUAGGGAAUCGCACGAAUGGAAAUGUGCGUCCAAGCAGUGAGUGUGAGAAGUAGGCAAAUCCGCUUCUCGCGAAGCAU